CUUCUAAUCCACCAACUUAGUGUUGAUGAAGACUAAACAGAGAGAUCACAGCUUCUUUCUACUUGCUGUAGCUCACAGUUACUCUACACUGCAGAUAUGACGCCUCUGUUCAUCUCAGUGCUGCUGGCUGCUGUGUGCCUUGAAUGCAGAGCACAAAAAGACAACGUGCUGCAACCAAAAGGAGACGAGACUGCUGCUGAAGGAGACACAGUAACACUUGACUGUCAGUAUGAAACCAGUGGAACCAAUAAUUAUCUCUUCUGGUACAAACAGGAUGCAAACAUUAGCCCCAAAUUCAUCCUGAGCCGUGUUAGCGGGGAUGAAGGAAUCACACCAGAGGAGUUCAAGAACAGAUUUUCAUCCACACUGGAUUCUACCUCAAGAUCAGUUCCUCUGAAGAUCCAGAAGCUUCAGCUGUCUGACUCUGCUGUGUACUACUGUGCUCUGAGGCCCACAGUGACAGGAAACAGCAAAACUCUGUACAAAAACCUUUGGAGCAAAGACAACAGAAUACUCCACAACAUCCACUAGAGGGAGCCA